rnacentral:rRNA from 1 species
GGGUUGUGAGGUUAAGCGACUAAGCGUACACGGUGGAUGCCCUGGCAGUCAGAGGCGAUGAAGGACGUGCUAAUCUGCGAUAAGCGUCGGUGAGGUGAUAUGAACCGUUAUAACCGGCGAUUUCCGAAUGGGGAAACCCAGUGUGUUUCGACACACUAUCAUUAACUGAAUCCAUAGGUUAAUGAGGCGAACCGGGGGAACUGAAACAUCUAAGUACCCCGAGGAAAAGAAAUCAACCGAGAUUCCCCCAGUAGCGGCGAGCGAACGGGGAGGAGCCCAGAGCCUGAAUCAGUGUGUGUGUUAGUGGAAGCGUCUGGAAAGGCGCGCGAUACAGGGUGACAGCCCCGUACACAAAAAUGCACAUACUGUGAGCUCGAUGAGUAGGGCGGGACACGUGGUAUCCUGUCUGAAUAUGGGGGGACCAUCCUCCAAGGCUAAAUACUCCUGACUGACCGAUAGUGAACCAGUACCGUGAGGGAAAGGCGAAAAGAACCCCGGCGAGGGGAGUGAAAAAGAACCUGAAACCGUGUACGUACAAGCAGUGGGAGCCUCUUAAUGGGGUGACUGCGUACCUUUUGUAUAAUGGGUCAGCGACUUAUAUUCUGUAGCAAGGUUAACCGAAUAGGGGAGCCGAAGGGAAACCGAGUCUUAACUGGGCGUUAAGUUGCAGGGUAUAGACCCGAAACCCGGUGAUCUAGCCAUGGGCAGGUUGAAGGUUGGGUAACACUAACUGGAGGACCGAACCGACUAAUGUUGAAAAAUUAGCGGAUGACUUGUGGCUGGGGGUGAAAGGCCAAUCAAACCGGGAGAUAGCUGGUUCUCCCCGAAAGCUAUUUAGGUAGCGCCUCGUGAAUUCAUCUCCGGGGGUAGAGCACUGUUUCGGCAAGGGGGUCAUCCCGACUUACCAACCCGAUGCAAACUGCGAAUACCGGAGAAUGUUAUCACGGGAGACACACGGCGGGUGCUAACGUCCGUCGUGAAGAGGGAAACAACCCAGACCGCCAGCUAAGGUCCCAAAGUCAUGGUUAAGUGGGAAACGAUGUGGGAAGGCCCAGACAGCCAGGAUGUUGGCUUAGAAGCAGCCAUCAUUUAAAGAAAGCGUAAUAGCUCACUGGUCGAGUCGGCCUGCGCGGAAGAUGUAACGGGGCUAAACCAUGCACCGAAGCUGCGGCAGCGACACUAUGUGUUGUUGGGUAGGGGAGCGUUCUGUAAGCCUGUGAAGGUGUGCUGUGAGGCAUGCUGGAGGUAUCAGAAGUGCGAAUGCUGACAUAAGUAACGAUAAAGCGGGUGAAAAGCCCGCUCGCCGGAAGACCAAGGGUUCCUGUCCAACGUUAAUCGGGGCAGGGUGAGUCGACCCCUAAGGCGAGGCCGAAAGGCGUAGUCGAUGGGAAAC